rnacentral:rRNA from 1 species
UACAGAGGGGGCAAGCGUUGUUCGGAAUUACUGGGCGUAAAGGGCGCGUAGGCGGCCUGUUAAGUCGAACGUGAAAUCCCCGGGCUCAACCCGGGAACUGCGUCCGAUACUGGCAGGCUUGAAUUCGGGAGAGGGAUGUGGAAUUCCAGGUGUAGCGGUGAAAUGCGUAGAUAUCUGGAGGAACACCGGGUGGCGAAGGCGGCAUCCUGGACCGAUAUUGACGCUGAUGCGCGAAAGCCCAGGGGAGCAAACGGG